CCAGGCCACCGAGCGACGCUCCGCCCAGGCUCUCCGAGUCCUCGGAGUCCGAAGGCGAAGGCUCGAGGUCCAGGAGCCUCCCCUGCCUCCUCGGUCCGGUCCCUUUCCUACCCUGGAGAAGGCCAGUAGGAAAUCCAUGCGGUGGGUGGGCCCCAGGCAGUGCCGCAGGCGCCAGUACACAAGGUGUUCCCAGGCGAAGACCAGCAAGGAGAGACCCAUGGCCACGAGGAGCAUGUAGAAGACACCUGCCAUGUUGUCGAUAUCCAGCUUGCUGCUCAUCACCUCGAUUUUGUCAUUGUGGCAGAUCCCUGAAAGCCACAGCCGCUCCAGCAUUUCAAUCUCAUCUGAGCAUGAGAGCAGAGUCAUCUAUUAGGAGCACACUCUCCUCUGAUACAGAAUCCAGGCCCUAGACCCUUCCAUUCUUGAAGACCCUCCUCCCGGAACCGAGGGCCAGCCCUCCCCUAUCCAGAGUAGGACUUUAUGCCCCGCCCAUCCGCACCGUCCCCCAGGAAUUGCAGCAGCGCCAGGUCGAUGGGCCUCUUCCAGCGGGAGCCCUUGUGUAGGGCGAUGCCAUAACCAGUGGUGGCGAAGACCUUGCCAGAGCCGAUGGUGACCAGCUUGCAGCCCUCAUCCUUGCGGGCCAUGUAGUUGAGCACUGCUGCGUCAUAGAUGAAGGCGUCCAGUUUCCUGAAGACAGGGGCAUGAAAGACAGGGUCAGGCUCAUUUAGAGGACCUCACAGCCCUCCAGGGACACCUUUCACCCGGAACCUGCAACUGCCCAGGAUCGCCCGAGCAGAUACUCCCCGUGCCUCUUUCCAACAUUGGGAAAACAAGCAUUAUUCUAAAUGCCACCAAGCCCAAGCCUUUGCAGAAGUGAUAGUGCCUGGUGGGAAAGUGCUGCUGCAGAAAUGACAUUGUAACUGUCGAGGGGACAGGCUCUCAAUCCUCAUUGUAUCUCUCCAAAGAAGAUACUGGUUUGGUUUGGUCCUCUCUGUAGUCUCGCUGUCCUGGAACUCACUCUGUAAACCACUCUGGCCUCGAAUUUACAGCGAUCCACCUGUCUCUGCCUCCCAAGUGCUGGGAUUAAAGAUGGGAGAUCGGGAAGUCAAGUCAUCCCCAAGGGUGGGGAGCACUACCGACCUUCCCCCCAACCUCAGCUUCUGGAGACCGCCAGCCCCAGGGAACUGGCACCCGCUCGUUCUCAUUCCCAGCCCGGCCAUGGCACACACAGUGAUAUUUUUUACAGAAUAAGUUCUAUGAAUGAAUCGUCCACAUCAGUAGACAGGUAUAACAUUGUGCAGUAUAUGAUAUUUGUA